UACGUAGGGGGCAAGCGUUAUCCGGAUUUACUGGGUGUAAAGGGGGCGCAGACGGCGAUGCAAGCCAGGAGUGAAAGCCCGGGGCCCAACCCCGGGACUGCUCUUGGAACUGCGUGGCUGGAGUGCAGGAGGGGCAGGCGGAAUUCCUGGUGUAGCGGUGAAAUGCGUAGAUAUCAGGAGGAACACCGGUGGCGAAGGCGGCCUGCUGGACUGCAACUGACGUUGAGGCGCGAAAGCGUGGGGAGCAAACAGG
rnacentral:rRNA from 1 species